CCUGCCUUGGAGUGGGGAAUAACAGCUGGAAACAGCUGCUAAUACCGCAUAAUAUAUCUGGGUCGCAUGGCUCUGGAUAUCAAAGAUUUAUCGCUCUGAGAUGGACUCGCGUCUGAUUAGCUAGUUGGUGGGGCAACGGCCCACCAAGGCGACGAUCAGUAGCCGGACUGAGAGGUUGGCCGGCCACAUUGGGACUGAGACACGGCCCAGACUCCUACGGGAGGCAGCAG
rnacentral:rRNA from 1 species